CCUACGGGUGGCAGCAGUGAGGAAUAUUGGUCAAUGGGCGUAAGCCUGAACCAGCCAAGUAGCGUGCAGGAUGACGGCCCUAUGGGUUGUAAACUGCUUUUAUGCGGGGAUAAAGUUGGGGACGUGUCCCUUUUUGCAGGUACCGCAUGAAUAAGGACCGGCUAAUUCCGUGCCAGCAGCCGCGGUAAUACGGAAGGUCCGGGCGUUAUCCGGAUUUAUUGGGUUUAAAGGGAGCGUAGGCAGUUUUUUAAGCGUGCUGUGAAAUGUACCGGCUCAACCGGUGAUGUGCAGCGCGAACUGGGAAUCUUGAGUACGCAGUAAGCAGGCGGAAUUCGUGGUGUAGCGGUGAAAUGCUUAGAUAUCACGAAGAACUCCGAUUGCGUAGGCAGCUUGCUGUAGCGUAACUGACGCUGAAGCUCGAAAGUGCGGGUAUCGAACAGGAUUAGAUACCCGUGUAGUC
rnacentral:rRNA from 1 species